CUACGGGCCGCAGCAGUGAGGAAUUUUGCGCAAUGGGGGAAACCCUGACGCAGCAACGCCGCGUGAGCGAAGAAGGCCCUCGGGUCGUAAAGCUCUGUCAAGUGGGAAAAAAAUCUUUUGAUCAAUAGUCAAAAGACUUGAUGGUACCACUGGAGGAAGCACCGGCUAACUCCGUGCCAGCAGCCGCGGUAAUACGGAGGGUGCAAGCGUUGUUCGGAUUUACUGGGCGUAAAGAGCGUGUAGGCGGUUUAGCAAGUCAGAUGUGAAAGCCCCGGGCUCAACCCGGGAAGUGCAUUUGAAACUGCUUCACUAGAGUAUGGGAGAGGAGAUUGGAAUUCCUGGUGUAGAGGUGAAAUUCGUAGAUAUCAGGAGGAACACCCGUGGCGAAGGCGAUUCUCUGGACCAAUACUGACGCUGAGACGCGAAAGCGUGGGGAGCAAACAGGAUUAGAUACCCGCGUAGUC
rnacentral:rRNA from 1 species